UGGCCCAUAGCUCAGCUGGGAGAGCACCUGCUUUGCACGCAGGGGGUCAGCGGUUCGAUCCCGCUUGGCUCCACCA
rnacentral:tRNA from 1 species